rnacentral:tRNA from 1 species
GCCCCCAUCGUCUAGAGGCCUAGGACGCCAGCCUUUCAAGCUGGUAACGGGGAUUCGAAUUCCCCUGGGGGCACCA